UACAGAGGGUGCGAGCGUUGUCCGGAAUCACUGGGCGUAAAGGGCGCGUAGGUGGCGGCCCAAGUCCAUGGUGAAAGCUCGAUGCUCAACAUCGAGUCGGCCACGGAUACUGGGUUGCUCGAGCACUGUAGGGGCAGAUGGAAUUCCGGGUGUAGCGGUGGAAUGCGUAGAGAUCCGGAAGAACACCGGUGGCGAAGGCGGUCUGC
rnacentral:rRNA from 1 species